CCCUAUGGGGUGCCCACAGAAGACCGCGGUCCACGCUUCCCUGCGUUGAAUCUGAGCAACCAAGUGCGUUGCGUUUGUGCCACAUCCAGACCGCUUCGAGGACUGCUGCGGCAGCGGCGCACCGCACAUAACACUUUGUCGCACAAAACCUUAAGGAGGGUGCAAGUUCCUUCCAGCGUAGAGCAGGCAUCGCGUUUGCCUUGCGGAUUCGCCAUCAAGUGUCCCUGCGUUCUAUUGCCUGGAGAACCGCAUCUUAUGGCCCUACGGAGUACAAUGGCUUCGGUGCUGGCCGCGGUCUGGCUGGCAUACGGAUAUACUGCUAGCGCGGUAGCCGUUGCCCGACCGCCCGAUGAGGAUGUCAGUUCGAGCCAUGGGGAAGUGGUCGUGGAAUUGGCGGGAGGGC
rnacentral:rRNA from 1 species